rnacentral:tRNA from 2 species
GGGCCCGUAGUCUAGCGGUAGGAUGCCCAGGCCCGAGGCGCGGGUGAUCCCGGGUUCAGGGGAACCCGCCUAGAAAUCCCGGCGGGCCCACCA